rnacentral:rRNA from 1 species
AAUAGAUACCCCGGUAGUCCACGCUGUAAACGGUGGGUACUAGGUGUGGGGUCCAUUCCACGGGUUCCGUGCCGUAGCUAACGCUUUAAGUACCCCGCCUGGGGAGUACGGCCGCAAGGCUAAAACUCAAAGGAAUUGACGGGGCCCCGCACAAGCGGCGGAGCAUGCGGAUUAAUUCGAUGCAACGCGUAGAACCUUACCUGGGUUUGACAUGGAUCGGGAGUGCUCAGAGAUGGGUGUGCCUCUUUUGGGGUCGGUUCACAGGCGGUGCAUGGCUGUCGUCAGCUCGUGUCGUGAGAUGUUGGGUUAAGUCCCGCAACGAGCGCAACCCUUGUUCACUGUUGCCAGCACGUUAUGGUGGGGACUCAGUGGAGACCGCCGGGGUCAACUCGGAGGAAGGUGGGGAUGACGUCAAGUCAUCAUGCCCCUUAUGUCCAGGGCUUCACGCAUGCUACAAUGGCUGGUACAGAGAGUGGCGAGCCUGGUGAGGGGUGAGCGAAAUCUCCGGGAAAGCCGGGUCUCAGUUCGGGAUUGGGGUCUGGC